UCAUGUGAGAAAACACUGGAGUUGUACAGGAUUUUGACUGUUACAUCCAUCCUACUGAAUUCUGUGCUGAUUAUUGCAAUAAUAGGUCUGUUAAUGUUCAAACUUAAGAAGCCAAGAAAAAGUCGACGACAACCCCAGAAUGUCGAACCAGAGCAGAUCGAGGACUUAAACACUGCACAGUAUUCUGAAAUUGAGUUACCCACAUAUUCCAGAAGAGAAAAUCCCAUUCAGACAAACGGCACUUAUGAACUUCUUCAGAAGCCAAAAGCUGCAUCCAGAUCAACACAUGCAGAAAUCAUCACAACAUACAAAGUUGAUAAUGAGGCAGUCUGACACCUUCUGUGCAUGAAUCCUUUUCGGUAGGAUUAAGUUUUAUAAAGGUCAAUAUGUUUCCGUCACUGUUUGAAUGAAACCUUGUUAUUUGCUUAUUUAUAAAAUGCAUAAUUUGGAGCAAAUACCUUAGACAUGUUAACAGAUCAGGCUUGAUUAA